UGGAUAAAUGUAAGGUUUGGAAGCAAGAACAGGAAGGCAGACUAUCAUCUGAAUGGCUAUAAGUUGAGGAGAAAGAAUGUGCAAUGAAACCUGGGUGUCCUCACAUACCAGUCGCUGAAGGCACAGGAGGUUGUAAAGAAGGAAAAUGGUUAGUGAGCCUUUACUGGAUUUGAUAGACAUCAAUAUGAGAGAACACUGCAGUAGAAUUCAAAAGACUGACCACCAAUUUGCAGAAUAACCAGCUUAUAAAACAUGCAUCUGAAGGCGAAGAUGAUCUUCAAAUCAAUAUGCUGAAGUACAUGGAAUCAAAGGACUUCAGUAGGGUCAUGCAUUGGAUGUAGAUAUUUUUGAACUAAACUGUCCAGAAAUGUUAUUAUACACCUCUGGAGCAAGGUGGGACUUAAACCUGGUCUCCUGGCUCAGAGAUAGUGAGCACUACACCACAAGAUCAGAGUGGUGCACUUGGACAUCCAAAAGGUAUUUGGUAAAAUGUGACGGAUCCAUGGUCAUUAAGUGAGAG